CAGCCGCCACGGGAAAACGUAGGGCGCAAGCGUUGUCCGGAAUUAUUGGGCGUAAAGAGCUCGUAGGCGGUCUGUCGCGUCUGGUGUGAAAUCCCGAGGCUCAACCUCGGGCUUGCAUCGGGUACGGGCAGACUAGAGUGCGGUAGGGGAGACUGGAAUUCCUGGUGUAGCGGUGGAAUGCGCAGAUAUCAGGAGGAACACCGAUGGCGAAGGCAGGUCUCUGGGCCGCAACUGACGCUGAGGAGCGAAAGCAUGGGGAGCGAACAGGAUUAGAUACCCCAGUAGUCCCUGUCUCUUAUAA
rnacentral:rRNA from 1 species